rnacentral:rRNA from 1 species
UACAGAGGGUGCAAGCGUUAAUCGGAAUUACUGGGCGUAAAGCGUGCGUAGUCGGUUAUCUAAGUCAGGUGUGAAAUCCCCGGGCUCAACCUGGGAAUUGCAUUUGAUACUGGAUAGCUAGAGUUCGGCAGAGGGAAGUGGAAUUCCUGGUGUAGCGGUGAAAUGCGCAGAUAUCAGGAGGAACACCCGUGGCGAAGGCGGCUUUCUGGGACGGUACUGACGCUGAGACGCGAAAGCGUGGGGAGCGAACAGG